GAGUUUGAUCUUGGCUCAGAUUGAACGCUGGCGGCAUGCCUUACACAUGCAAGUCGAACGGCAGCAUGAUCUAGCUUGCUAGAUUGAUGGCGAGUGGCGAACGGGUGAGUAAUACAUCGGAACGUGCCCUGUAGUGGGGGAUAACUAGUCGAAAGAUUAGCUAAUACCGCAUACGACCUGAGGGUGAAAGUGGGGGACCGCAAGGCCUCAUGCUAUAGGAGCGGCCGAUGUCUGAUUAGCUAGUUGGUGGGGUAAAGGCCCACCAAGGCGACGAUCAGUAGCUGGUCUGAGAGGACGAUCAGCCACACUGGGACUGAGACACGGCCCAGACUCCUACGGGAGGCAGCAGUGGGGAAUUUUGGACAAUGGGCGAAAGCCUGAUCCAGCAAUGCCGCGUGUGUGAGAAGGCCUCGGUGUAAG
rnacentral:rRNA from 1 species